GAACCGGAACCGGAACCGGAACUGGUUCAGGCAACUGUCUGGACAGGAACCGCAACUGCAGGUCAUGGGCUUCUCUAGGGGACUGUGGCUCCAAUCCUCGCUACAUGCACGUGUACUGUAGACAAAGUUGCAACAGAUGCUCAGGAGGCGGAGGAGCAGGUGGAUCCUGUGUGGAUGCAAACACCAACUGCAGGAGCUGGUCGAUGAUGGGGA